rnacentral:rRNA from 1 species
CUCCCGGCACGGGGAGGUAGUAAUUGGAAUGAGUACACUUUAAAUCCUUUAACGAGGAUCUAUUAGAGGGCCAGUCUGGUGCCAGCAGCCGCGAUAAUUCCAGAUCUAAUAGCGUAUAUUAAAGUUGUUGCGGUUAAAAAGCUCGUAAUUGAAUCUGUGUCCCACACUGUCGGUUCACCGCUCGCGGUGUUCAACUGGCAUGUCUUUGGGACGUCCUACCGGUGGGCUUAGCCCGUCAAAAGGCCCAACUCAAAAUCCUACCACGGUGCUCUUCACCGAGUGUCGAGCUGGGCCGGUACGUUUACUUUGAACAAAUUAGAGUGCUUAAAGCAGGCUCAUUUGCCUGAAUAUUGUGUGCAUGGAAUAAUGGAAUAGGACCUCGGUUCUAUUUUGUUGGUUUUCGGAAUUCCGAGGUAAUGAUUAAUUUGUCCCAACUGGGGGCAUUCGUAUUGCGACGUUAGAGGUGAAAUUCUUGGAUCGUCGCAAGACGGACAGAAGCGAAAGCAUUUGCCAAAUGUGUUUUCAUCAAUCAAGAACGAAAGUUAGAGGUUCGAAGGCGAUCAGAUACCGCUCUAGUUCUAACCAUAAACGAUGCCAGCUAGCGAUCCGCCGAAGUUCCUCCGAUGACUCGGCGGGCAGCUUCCGGGAAACCAAAGCUUUUGGGUUCCAGGGGAAGUAUGGUUGCAAAGCUGAAACUUACAGGAAUUGACGGAAGGGCACUACAAGGAGUGGAGCCUGCGGCUUAAUUUGACUCAACACGGGAAACCUCACCAGGUCCGGACACCGGAAGGAUUGACAGAUUGAGAGCUCUUUCUUGAUUCGGUGGGUGGUGGUGCAUGGCCGUUCUUAGUUGGUGGAGCGAUUUGUCUGGUUAAUUCUGAUAACGAACGAGACUCUAGCCUGCUAAAUAGGCGUACUUUCCGGUAUCGCACUAUUCCACUUCGGCUUCGGUCGUUGUUGGUUGUGGUUCUUAUUACCGGCGUACAAAUAUAUCUUCUUAGAGGGACAGGUGGCAUUUAGUCGCACGAAAUUAAGCAAUAACAGGUCUGUGAUGCCCUUAGAUGUUCUGGGCCGCACGCGCGCUACACUGAAGAGAUCAGCAGGUUUUCCUUGGCCGAAAGGUCCGGGUAAUCCGUUGAAGCCUCUUUGUGCUAGGGAUUGGGGCUUACAAUUCUUCCCCAUGAACGAGGAAUUCCUAGUAAGCGCGAGUCAUAAGCUUGCGUUGAUUACGUCCCUGCCCUUUGUACACACCGCCCGUCGCUACUACCGAUUGAAUUAUUUAGUGAGGUCUUCGGACCGGUGCGCGGCAGCGUUUCGACAUUGCCGAUGUUGCUGGGAAGAUGACCAAACUUGAUUAUUUAGAGGAAGUAAAAGUCGUAACAAGGUUUCCGUAGGUGAACCUGCGGAAG